CAGUAGCCACGGGAAUACGAAGGGGGCUAGCGUUGUUCGGAAUUACUGGGCGUAAAGCGCACGUAGGCGGAUAUUUAAGUCAGGGGUGAAAUCCCAGAGCUCAACUCUGGAACUGCCUUUGAUACUGGGUAUCUUGAGUAUGGAAGAGGUGAGUGGAAUUCCGAGUGUAGAGGUGAAAUUCGUAGAUAUUCGGAGGAACACCAGUGGCGAAGGCGGCUCACUGGUCCAUUACUGACGCUGAGGUGCGAAAGCGUGGGGAGCAAACAGGAUUAGAGACCCCUGUAGUCCCUGUCUCUUAUAC
rnacentral:rRNA from 1 species